GACUUAGAAAAGUCAUCAUACAGCAACAUUUCCUAUAGUAACUACGCCUCGCGGUGCUGUUGCAUUCUUGUCUAAAGCGUUCACUGGACGUGCCAGAGACGUAGAUACUGUUAGAGAAUCUGGGUUACUAGACUUUAUCGAACCUGGUGAUGAAUUUUUGGCAGAUAGGGGAUUCAUCAAUGAAGUGAUUUCACUUCUUUAUGGGUUAAAGUACAUAUGCCUUCUUAUAAAGGAAAAAGGGUCCAAUUACCAGAAAAAGAGACGGAAAGAAGUAGAAUAAUAGUUAACGAACGAAUUCAUGUUGAACGCGUAAUAGAUUCUAACAACAACACCUUCAUCUAUAAAAUAUUUGUAACUUGCUGCUGCCUUAUGAAUGCACAACCAACAAUAAUUCCACAAUAUUAAGUUGAUGUGACACUUGUAAUUGUUAUGUUCAUCUUUCUCUGUAUUUUUGGCCAAUUAACUCAUUUUUUAACAUAAGGAACGAAUUGCUGUUAACAUGUAAUUACAAUAAAUUUGAAUUGAUUGGUUG